GGAGGGUUGGGACGCGGUGUCGGUGGGUUGGAGGGGCGAUUGCUCACCUUGACUGCGAGCUGGCACCGACCGGGAACGGCUCCAAGCCGGAAAUGCCCCUGCUACCUGCUUGGUUCGGCGAAACAGCAGUUUCCUCCUGGUGCAGCUCGCGGCACGCCCGGGCAGACGCGGGGGACAGCUCAGAGCAGGGGCACAAAGGAGCAUUCCACAGCAUGGAAUCACAGGAUCAAUUAGGGACGGUGACUCCACCACCUCCCUGGGCAGCCUGUUCUAGCGUGGAAUGGACUGAAUGAGGAAGAUCAUUUUGCUGAGCCGUGGCCCUGGGCUGCCCCAGCUGAGUGUGCCCCGAUAUGUGGUGUGCACAGGGAGGGCUGAGGGCUUCCAGCCCUGAAUGCCAGCAGAGGCCAUCCUGUGUGUACCACUGAGCGAGUGGAUUAGUGUCACCAAGGAAGCUGCUUCAAAUAAAACAGCAGCAGGUGCCCCUCCUGAUCUUAGGCUCUGGGUUCUUGUCCCUAGGGAACUUUGGACCCAGUUCUUCAGCAUCACCGAUAUCUUCAGGAUCCCACUUACGUGUAACUGCAGAGACAUGAAGCCUCAGCCAGAGGACAUGCCAUACAGAGAGAUCCCUGCAGCUGAGGAGCAGCUCACAUAGCCUCCACAAUCUAUGAUAAGGCCUCCCUGCUCAUAUCACCAACAGAAUCCAGUCCAGGAACAGUCACAGCUUGCAAAUCUGACCUCAUCCUCCAAUUCUUUUAAAGUCAGUUGUCAGGUUUCUUAGGAGCCCUUCUGUGUCACACCCCACAAUGGUUUAUAAAUAAACUAUGA